rnacentral:lncRNA from 1 species
UUGGCUGUGCCCCAAUCCCUGGUGGAGUGCAAGGCACUUGGACACAGGAAAAGAAAAGCAACUGAUGCACCCUGGGAGGAAGAAGUCCAACUCUGCCUUAACACAGAUCCUCAGCUAUCUAAGGCUUCACAGCAUCGCCACGCACAACAAAAGAUUAGAGGCCAUGAAGAUCAAGCACCUUUACUGUCUUGCUUUCCUCAAAGAACUAUUAUUGUCACAAAACUACCAAGACUGUGAAGAGGGAAAGUGCUAGCCUGGAAUACAAAUCUUAAGGAUAGAAACAUUGUUUUUAUGUCAGGCAAUACUGUCUCACCGUACACUGCGGCUGGCCUAGUCCUCACUGCAGAGCACAUCGGCCUUGAACUCAUAGAAAUCUCCAAGCUUAAGCUUCCUGGUUGCCUAAAUUGCAGUCAUGUUCCACAGUACCCAACAUGAUUUUGACUUUUUAAAAUUUAGGAUACAUCAUCCACUCAACCUUAAUUUUUAUUUUCAUUCUUUUGUCUUUUUCCUUUUUUUAUUUAACAAAUGGCAUUAAAUGUGAGCAUCAGAUUUCUAUAGAUGCUGCUUCAUGCCAUUUGGGUCAUUUUCCUUGCUGCCUUGUCAUUUCCUUGCAUCCAUCCCAGUACUUUAGAUCCUUUCCCUUUCAAUCCAUGAUACUACCC